rnacentral:rRNA from 1 species
UACGUAGGGGGCUAGCGUUGUCCGGAAUCAUUGGGCGUAAAGAGCGUGUAGGCGGCCCGGUAAGUCCGCUGUGAAAGUCGGGGGCUCAACCCUCGAAAGCCGGUGGAUACUGUCGGGCUAGAGUGCGGAAGAGGCGAGUGGAAUUCCCGGUGUAGCGGUGAAAUGCGCAGAUAUCGGGAGGAACACCAAUGGCGAAGGCAGCUCGCUGGGACGUUACUGACGCUGAGACGCGAAAGCGUGGGGAGCAAACAGG